AUUGAACGCUGGCGGAAUGCUUUACACAUGCAAGUCGAACGGCAGCACGGGGGCAGCCCUGGUGGCGAGUGGCGAACGGGUGAGUAAUACAUCGGAACGUGCCCGGUCGUGGGGGAUAACGUAGCGAAAGUUACGCUAAUACCGCAUACGAUCUGAGGAUGAAAGCGGGGGACCUUCGGGCCUCGCGCGAUCGGAGCGGCCGAUGUCAGAUUAGGUAGUUGGUGGGGUAAAGGCCUACCAAGCCGACGAUCUGUAGCUGGUCUGAGAGGACGACCAGCCACACUGGGACUGAGACACGGCCCAGACUCCUAGGGGAGGCAGCAGUGGGAAUUUUGGACAAUGGGCGCAAGCCUGAUCCAGCCAUUCCGCGUGCAGGACGAAGGCCUUCGGGUUGUAAACUGCUUUUGUACGGAAAGAAAAGGCUCUGGCUAAUACCUGGGGCUCAUGACGGUACCGUAAGAAUAAGCACCGGCUAACUACGUG
rnacentral:rRNA from 1 species